rnacentral:rRNA from 1 species
CGGCCGGGAAGAAAUCGCAUCAGCUAAUACCUGGUGUGGAUGACGGUACCGGAAUAAGAAGCACCGGCUAACUACGUGCCAGCAGCCGCGGUAAUACGUAGGGUGCGAGCGUUAAUCGGAAUUACUGGGCGUAAAGCGUGCGCAGGCGGUUUUUAAGAUAGGCGUGAAAUCCCCGGGCUUAACCUGGGAACUGCGCUUAUGACUGGAAGACUAGAGUACGGCAGAGGGGGGUGGAAUUCCACGUGUAGCAGUGAAAUGCGUAGAGAUGUGGAGGAACACCGAUGGCGAAGGCAGCCCCCUGGGCCGAUACUGACGCUCAUGCACGAAAGCGUGGGGAGCAAACAGGAUUAGAUACCCUGGUAGUCCACGCCCUAAACGAUGUCAACUAGGUGUUGGGUGGGUAAAACCAUUUAGUACCGUAGCUAACGCGUGAAGUUGACCGCCUGGGGAGUACGGCCGCAAGGUUAAAACUCAAAGGAAUUGACGGGG